UUUUGGGCCAAGUAAUUCUUUGUGCUGGGAGACCAUCAUGUGCUCUCUAGGAUAUUUAGCAGCAUCCCUGACCUCUUGCAGAAGAUGCCAGGAGCACCCUCCCUUGAACUGUGAAAACCAAAAGUGUCUCCACUCAUUGUUAAAUGUCCCCUGAAAGGUGCAAAGUCGUGAGUGGUAGAACUUGGUCAGAUCAUAAAGGACCUUGUAUGUGGACUUGUUUUCUAGGCAUGCAAUGAGAAAUACUUCAUGUUUUCUAGUGGGAGAGUUACAUGCGGCAAUGUAUUUUCAGAGGAUACAUUUCAAAGAGGUGAGACUGGAGAUAGGAAGAUCUACCAAGGAGGAAACUGCCAUAGAUUACAGAAAGGGAAAGAAGUGAAUUCCCUUCAUCUACAUGGUUCCGAAGUGCAGAAACAAGAAGGGCAAAGCCAAAAAGACAAGUGAAAGCAAAGAAAUGGUUUUCUGGCAUUCUUUUGGAGAUUCCCUUUUUGGUGACGUGCUCAAGCCUACCCAUAAAACAUUGAGAGUUAUCUUGGUCUGCAAUCAAUCCUUCAGAAAAAUCCCUCACAUUAUCACUUUUGUGCAGUAUGUUAACUAGGAGCAAAAUGAUAGUGUAUGUCAGUCAAAUGUAAAGCAUGACUUCUAUUGGUGUUAAAACCUGAUGAUUAAUGCAGAAGCUCAUGGCAAGUCAGGUUAAUCUGAACAAUAUAUUAUUUCCUUUUAGUCUACAAUCUGUCAUUUCA